CAAUGAACUCUUUUACUGAGGAAGAAUAUUUUCAUGCUAAAGACACUUUGCAUUGGCUGUUCAUGCUUCACUGCUUUGUGAGUGUUUAUAGACCCCUGAGUUUAGAGGAACUAUGAAAGGAAAAAACUGUAUUACUGUAUGACAACAAACUCUGAAGUUACAACUAUGAUUUUUAUCAUUGUUUGGACGCUAUGUAGUAUUCAAGGUUUGAUGUGUCAGGUUGUUGUGACUCAGUCUGGAGAUCAGACAGUGGAGCCUGGUCAAACUGUUACUAUUGAAUGUAAACAUACACCAAGCAUUAAUCGGUGGAAUGCAAAGGAGAAGAAGGACUGCAUGUCCUGGUACCACCAGAUUCCUGGAGACGUUCCUAAACUCCUGAUCUCUUACACAUCAAACAGAGCUUCAGGUGUUUCUGAAAGAUUCAGUGGCAGUGGGAAUACAAAUUCCAUUGAUUAUAGUCUGACCAUCAGUAAAGUUCAGCCUGAAGAUUCAGGAGUUUAUUACUGUAUGGGUCAAUAUAACACUAAACCUGAAGGGGUACAGUUGGUGUUCACACAGUGUGAUAGUGUCAUACAAAAACCUCAUCUGUAAAGAUGGCAUUGAUACAGUAACAGUUUAUUUGGAGAACUAAAUAAAUCUGUUGUUGU